rnacentral:lncRNA from 1 species
ACCACCAGUCACAACUUCUCCUCCUCCAGUCACCACUGCUCCUCCUCCAGCUAACCCACCACCACCAGUCUCAUCUCCUCCUCCAGCUACUCCUCCUCCCGUCGCUACUCCUCCUCCAGUCUCUUCUCCUCCUCCUCCCGUUGCUUCUCCUCCACCAGCAACUCCUCCUCCCGUCGCUACUCCUCCUCCAGCUCCUCUAGCUUCACCUCCUGCUUCAGUUCCAGCUGUUGCACCGGUCACGAAGCCAGAUUCUCCAUCUCCUUCGCCGUCUUCUAGCCCACCUCUUCCAUCUAGCGACGCUCCUGGACCUAGCACUGAGUCACUCACUCCUGGUCCUAGUCCUUCCACAGAUGUAAACGACCAGGUUCGUACACUCUUCUUUCUUCUAGAUCUUGUACAAUGUGUUUCAGAUCUGAGAUGUUUUGACUUUGAAACUUAGUUGUUUUGUCUGAAUCUUAUUAGAUCUAAACCAGUGUGAAAAACAUGAUUAGCGCAAUUUAGCAAUAGGAUGCUAGUUUACACUAACGUGCGCCAGUAUCGGGUUUGGUGAUUUUGGUCUGUCUGCCUCGAGAUCUUCGGAUCCGAGCCGCGGCGCGUGGGUGUAAAUAGUCACGUGACUUUAUCAGUCUGCACGUGAAUAAUUAAUUAAUUCCACGUGGCAUUAUGCUUUAGGACCAAAGUAGAUCUAACAUAGAAGUUAACUUUAGAGUUUAGUAAUAAAAUAAAGCAUAAGCGUGAUAGACGGAUUUGUCUUAAAAUCUGCCGUCCCAAAUAUUAUUUUUAAGUUUCACCCCCUAGAUUUUAGGAUCUUUCCAAAUCUAUCCCUGGAUUAGUUAAUAUAACUGAAAAGUCCAAUUUUGAAUUCAGGUG